AUUGAACGCUGGCGGCAGGCCUAACACAUGCAAGUCGAACGAGUGGCGGACGGGUGAGUAAUGUCUGGGAAACUGCCUGAUGGAGGGGGAUAACUACUGGAAACGGUAGCUAAUACCGCAUACCAUCAGAUGUGCCCAGAUGGGAUUAGCUAGUUGGUGGGGUAACGGCGCACCAAGGCGACGAUCCCUAGCUGGUCGGAGAGGAUGACCAGCCACACUGGAACGUGGACACGGUCCAGCCUCCUACGGGAGGCAGCAGUGGGGAAUAUUGCACAAUGUGAGCAAGCCUGGUGUAGACAUGCCGGGUGUAUGAAGGAGGCCUUCGGGUUGUAAAGUACUUACAGCGGGGAGGCGUUACCCGCAGAAGAAGCACCGGCUAACUCCGUGCCAGCCGGCGCGGUAAUAC
rnacentral:rRNA from 1 species